CACCCCUUCCCCGGAGCGUGUCCGCAGGCGGAGGGAGGCUCUGCUGGGUCUCGCCCUGAGGUUUUUGCUCGAGCACAGAAAGGUUAACAGGCUCCAGCAGAAAUGAGACUCAUCAUCUGCAACUUCUGCCACAUGGGAUCUCAGAGAACAGGGAAGAUGACAGGCAAAGAGAAAAAACAAGAAAGGUGUUGACAUGGCCAGGAGAAUUGACAUGGCUGGAGCGCUGGGGUUAAACAGGAGAACGGCAGUAGCAUCAAGGAUUAACAUUUGAAUCACAGGAUCACAGCUCUCAUGAGAAUAUAUUGGAGGCUCCAAGACAUAGACAGCAUCUCAGGUUUCUACAGCACUGAGAAAUUGUAUGAUGGGCUCCACCACCACCCUUUGUGGAUGUCCCCGGCCACCUCUGCUCCUCUAGAAAAGACAUGGACAGCCCAUGCCAGCCGGAAAGAAAUGAUGACCAAAAUUAAUCUGGAGCAUAAUAGAUGUGCACUGAAAAACUGCUGACCCUUUCUUCAAAACUGACACCAUUUUCAGGGUGAGCAUUUUUUUCACAGAAGCUACAAGAAAGAAGGAAUUUUAAUAACUGUAGAACAAAAGUAGAUAAAAUAAACAAAAACAAAUGGCAAGAUA